rnacentral:rRNA from 1 species
CAACUUGAGAGUUUGAUCCUGGCUCAGAACGAACGCUGGCGGCAUGCUUAACACAUGCAAGUCGAACGAAGGCCCUGGCUUGCCAG